GAUGAACGCUGGCGGCGUGCCUAAUACAUGCAAGUCGAGCGAACGGACGAGAAGCUUGCUUCUCUGAUGUUAGCGGCGGACGGGUGAGUAACACGUGGAUACCCUACCUAUAAGACUGGGAUAACUUCGGGAAACCGGAGCUAAUCCCGGAUAAUAUUUUGAACCGCAUGGUUCAAAAGUGAAAGACGGUCUUGCUGUCACUUAUAGAUGGAUCCGCGCUGCAUUAGCUAGUUGGUAAGGUAACGGCUUACCAAGGCAACGAUGCAUAGCCGAGCUGAGAGGGUGAUCGGCCACACUGGAACUGAGACACGGUCCAGACGCCUACGGGAGGCAGCAGUAGGGAAUCUUCCGCAAAGGGCGAAAGCCUGACGGAGCAACGCCGCGUGAGUGAUGAAGGUCUUCGGAUCGGAAAACUCUGUUAUGAGGGAAGAACAGAUGUGGAAGUAAAUGUGCACAUCUUGACGGUACCGAAUCAGAAAGCCACGGCUAACUACGUG
rnacentral:rRNA from 1 species